rnacentral:rRNA from 1 species
CCUACGGGGGGCUGCAGUGAGGAAUAUUGGUCAAUGGUCGCAAGACUGAACCAGCCAUGCCGCGUGCAGGAUGACGGUCCUAUGGAUUGUAAACUGCUUUUGUACGGGAAGAAACACCUCUACGUGUAGGGGCUUGACGGUACCGUAAGAAUAAGGAUCGGCUAACUCCGUGCCAGCAGCCGCGGUAAUACGGAGGAUCCAAGCGUUAUCCGGAAUCAUUGGGUUUAAAGGGUCCGUAGGCGGCCCUGUCAGUCAGCGGUGAAAUCUCCCAGCUC